rnacentral:lncRNA from 7 species
AAGUACUGUUCUAUCCCUUAUGGUGAUUGUUAAGUUACUUCUUGCUCUUUCUCCUUGAUAACAGUCUUUUCCAACUUAUUUUCUCCCCUGUCCUUGCUAAAAAGAGGGAUUGAGAAAGUGACUAGUUGAGGUUCUGUUCAUUAGCCAGAGUUAACCCACUACACUACCCAAAAGGAGAAAUGCAGGUUUUUGUUAAAGCUUUAAUUUUAUUUUAUUUAACUUUUAUUAUUUUGUCAGAUGUACUCAGUGCCAUUUCAUUGGAUUUACUAAUCAGUGGUUCCAGAUAAGAAGGAUACACUUCUAAUCAAGACAGUGAGAAAAGAUACAGAGAGAUUAAAUGUGCAGAGUCUUGGAUGUUCUCCUGAUAGGUGUUGAGGAAGGUGCUGAAGAUAUUAGAAGAACAUAUCUGCAACAAAUCCUAAUAGAGCUCUUACUAUGUUCUGAUGCAUUCGUGUGCUAACAGGAGGGUAUAUAUUCAUUGCCAUAAGGUUGGCUAUAAGGGUGAACAUUAUAUUUUCAGUGAUAAGUACAUUUAUUUUUAUAAAAUCUUUUAAUACAUACUGAAUAGUCUUCAAUAACAACGUGUAAUCUUGACCUGGAUGAUCUUAACAUAGAUACGUAUAAAUAGAUACAGAUAUGUAUAUAUCUGUGAGAUUGUAUCUUUUUAUCUGUAUAUGCCUCUGCGUGUAUGUAUAUGAUAUAGUCCUCUUGAAGGAAUUGUUUUUGUAUAUUAGGAAAAAAAACAUCCAGAAGAGCUCCACGUUCUGCAGAAUUCCAGUGUCCUAGGUAUUCUUUUGUGUGAUUGACUAUCUUGUUUUAUAUUUAAUAUGCAGUCAUAUAUUUAGAGUUAGGCACUAAAUGACAAAUCUUCGCUGUAAACUAAGUAUGUUACUGUAAUCUGAACAGAUUUGGUGAAACAUGAAGUAAAUCAGUAAAACUAAGCUGGGAAAAAACAGCAUUCUUUACCCCUCCAGAAGAAAAGUAAAAAGUGUGUGACCAUAUUCCUACCUCCUUAUGACAACUCAGAAAAUUCAUCUCAUGUUCAUCAAAAGCAAAGGAAUUAUUCAUAGGUGGAUAACUCGUUUCUUAUUUUUAUGCUGAUUUCACACAAAACAAAGCCUUGCACAGCUGCUCUUUGGAAGAUAAAAAGGAUUCAAAUUGCUGUAGCAGACGUCUGAGUGGAAAUAUUUUCAGAUGUUCAGCAAAUCAAAUCACAUGGGGAAAGGGCAGGUUUUAUUUGCUGUGGAUUUUUUGCCUCCAGAAAUAUUAUACCAUUUGCUUAUUCUUAAGUGAUUAGCUCUUCCUCAUAAGUAGAGGGUUUUUUUGUUUGGUUGGUUUUUUGCUACUGUAUAAUGCAUGGAAUGAAAGAAUAAAUAAAUAGUUUAAAAAUUUUAUCAUGUAAUGACCAGAAGAGACUUCCGCAGUGUGAACUUUGUGAAGAAAGCAAUUAGGAACAGUUAGCUCACUGGUGUUCUGAUAUUGGUCCUGUUAGGACUGUGAUUUACUUUCACUAUCUACCAAGGAACUUAUAAAGUAUACUUCACUUUACACAAUCUUCAGACUUACCUGAAGUUAACUUGGAUGCAUGAUAAGAGACCUGUUAUUUAAUUACUGGCCAUUAAACUAACGAUUUCAUAAUAAAAAGAACUUGCUAUGACAUUAAGGAAAAGCUUUAUUGAAGGGGAAUAAAAUGUGUGAACGCAAGCAGAGAUAAGAAGGGAAAAUAGGUCUUUUUAAAGGAAUUGUGAAGGAUAUUUUUCUGCACAGAAUCUAAAUGUGCUAUUUGAAAGACUGAAUUUUCUUUAGAAAUGCUGCCUAUUCUAAAAUGAAUGUAGGGGUAAUCUGAGUUUCUCCUGAGAUUCUCAAAAUCAGCCAUUGUGACUAUGUUGUCAGCACGAUGCAGACUAUUUCGGGCAUCUCAUCUCACCACUUGAUUGACUCAGAGACCUGUCAUGAGAUUCACCUGGCCUGCAAAUCAGAUCUGAAGAGGUGGAGGAGGACAGUGACAUGACUUCUAACAGUCAUUCAUUCGUUAUUUAGAAAUAUCCUUCAAAAGAUCUGUGCUUGCCUCGGGU